CCUACGGGAGGCAGCAGUGAGGAAUAUUGGUCAAUGGACGAGAGUCUGAACCAGCCAAGUAGCGUGAAGGAUGACUGCCCUAUGGGUUGUAAACUUCUUUUAUAUGGGAAUAAAAUGUUCCACGUGUGGGAUUUUGUAUGUACCAUAUGAAUAAGGAUCGGCUAACUCCGUGCCAGCAGCCGCGGUAAUACGGAGGAUCCGAGCGUUAUCCGGAUUUAUUGGGUUUAAAGGGAGCGUAGGUGGAUUGUUAAGUCAGUUGUGAAAGUUUGCGGCUCAACCGUAAAAUUGCAGUUGAAACUGGCAGUCUUGAGUACGGUAGAGGUGGGCGGAAUUCGUGGUGUAGCGGUGAAAUGCUUAGAUAUCACGAAGAACUCCGAGUGCGAAGGCAGCUCACUGGACUGCAACUGACACUGAGGCUCGAAAGUGUGGGUAUCGAACAGGAUUAGAUACCCGAGUAGUC
rnacentral:rRNA from 1 species